AACGAACGCUGGCGGCAGGCUUAACACAUGCAAGUCGAGCGCCCCGCAAGGGGAGCGGCAGACGGGUGAGUAACGCGUGGGAAUCUACCCAUCUCUACGGAAUAACGCAUGGAAACGUGUGCUAAUACCGUAUACGUCCUUCGGGAGAAAGAUUUAUCGGAGAUGGAUGAGCCCGCGUUGGUUUAGCUAGUUGGUGGGGUAAAGUCCUACCAAGGCGACGAUCCAUAGCUGGUCUGAGAGGAUGAUCAGCCACACUGGGACUGAGACACGGCCCAGACUCCGACGGGAGGCAGCAGUGGGGAAUAUUGGACAAUGGGCGCAAGCCUGAUCCAGCCAUGCCGCGUGAGUGAUGAAGGCCCUAGGGUUGUAAAGCUCUGUCACCGGUGAAGAUAAUGACGGUGACCGGAGAAGAAGCCCCGGCUAACUUCGUGCCAGCCGCCGCAGUAAAAC
rnacentral:rRNA from 1 species